UUAAGGCGGCUUCGGCCGCGUAUAGAGUGGCGAACGGGUGAGUAACACGUGACCAACCUGCCCCGCGCUCCGGGACAACCGCUGGAAACGGCGGCUAAUACCGGAUGCUCCGGGGAGGCCCCAUGGCCUCCCCGGGAAAGCCUUAACGGCGCGGGAUGGGGUCGCGGCCCAUUAGGUAGACGGCGGGGUAACGGCCCACCGUGCCCGCGAUGGGUAGCCGGACUGAGAGGUCGACCGGCCACAUUGGGACUGAGAUACGGCCCAG
rnacentral:rRNA from 1 species